CACGUAGGGCGCAAGCGUUGUCCGGAAUUAUUGGGCGUAAAGAGCUCGUAGGUGGUUUGCUGCGUCCGCUGUGAAAACCCAAGGCUUAACCUUGGGCUUGCAGUGGAUACGGGCAGACUAGAGGUAGGGAGGGGAGAAUGGAAUUCCCGGUGUAGCGGUGAAAUGCGCAGAUAUCGGGAGGAACACCGGUGGCGAAGGCGGUUCUCUGGGCCUUACCUGACACUGAGGAGC
rnacentral:rRNA from 1 species